rnacentral:rRNA from 1 species
CCUACGGGGAGCUGCAGUGGGGGAUAUUGGACAAUGGGCGAAAGCCUGAUCCAGCCAUGCCGCGUGUGUGAAGAAGGCCUUCGGGUUGUAAAGCACUUUCAGUGGGGAAGAAAGCCUUGGGGCUAAUACCCUCGAGGAAGGACAUCACCCACAGAAGAAGCACCGGCUAACUCCGUGCCAGCAGCCGCGGUAAUAUGGAGGGUGCGAGCGUUAAUCGGAAUUACUGGGCGUAAAGCGCGCGUAGGCGGUCUGAUAAGCCGGUUGUGAAAGCCCCGGGCUCAACCUGGGAACGGCAUCCGGAACUGUCAGGCUAGAGUGCAGGAGAGGAAGGUAGAAUUCCCGGUGUAGCGGUGAAAUGCGUAGAGAUCGGGAGGAAUACCAGUGGCGAAGGCGGCCUUCUGGACUGACACUGACGCUGAGGUGCGAAAGCGUGGGUAGCAAACAGGAUUAGAUACCCGAGUAGUC